rnacentral:rRNA from 1 species
AGGUGAUAUAUUGAAAAAUGGUAUAUGUAAUUAAUAUUAUUUUAAGGAUUAUAAAUCAAAAUUUAUAAAUGAUAAAAAGAUUAACUAAAAAGUAAUCAAUCAUAAUCAUGAAAAUGAUAAAAAAUAAAAACAAGUGGAAUGAAACAUCUGAGUAACUUGUAAAAUAACCAACAGGGAUAAUAUAAGUAACGGUGAGUGAAAGUAUUAGAAUCUUAAAGUAUUACCAAGAGGUAAGAAUAAAGUAGUUUCCAACUACUAAGAAAAAAAAAUAAAUUUUAGAUUAAAGUACCGCAAGGGAAAGUAAGAAAAUAGAAUAAUAAAGAGCAAUCAUAGAAUGGUUUACCUCUUGUAUAAUGGGCCAGUGAGUUAUAUAUUUUAGUGAGAUUAAAUUCGUAUAUAAAUAGAAAUUAAUUAAAGUAUAUAGGCCCGAAAGCAAACGAUCUACACAUGUCCAAGUGUAUAUAAAACCUUAUAAGGUAUAUAUAUGACUCAAUAGGUAAUUGUAGCAAUAAUUUCUAAAGAGGUGUGUGUAGCUGUGACAGACAAAUCUGGUUUGCAGAUAGCUGGUUUUCUGCGAAAUAUAUUUUAGUAUAGCCUUUAUAAUCUGUUUAUAAUAACAGACAUUUAAACUGGUACAGCACUUAAAUACCUUUGGGGAAUUAGAAUAUAAUUUUAUCAAAAUAUUUAAACCUCGGAAUCAGUGAAUAAUGAAAUAUAAGGAGUCAGACUUAUUGCGAUAAGGUAGUAAGUCGAGAAGGAAACAACCUAGACUAUUAAAUGAAUGUCCCAAAUAUUAAUUAAGUGAAUAAAAUCUAUCCUACUUUAAUUUUUAUAAAAAUGAAAAGUUAAAAUCAUAUGAUUUUACAUUAUUAUAUAUAAAUGCCGGCCUUCGGCCGGCAUUUAUAAACCUAAUCUUUUAGGCCAUAAUAUGCGGGGAAUGCCCGGCCGGUAGGCCGGGGAUCCCCGCCCCCCCGAGGGGGGGGGACGGGAAUUAAAUUAUAGACAAUUAGUAAGUGGGUUUGACAAUAAUCAACUUUUAAUGAACAUGUAACAAUGCACUAAUUUUAUAUAUAUAUAUAUAUAAUUUUAUAUAUAUAUUUAUUAAUAAUAGAGAAAAUAUAUCGGGUCUAAAUUAAUAACAGUAUUAUAGAUAUAAUCAUAAAGAUUAUAUGGUAGCAGAAUAUAUAAUGAAAAAUUAUAAAGAGAUUGCUGGCUUGAGUAACGAUAGAUAAUAUAAGAUUAUCCCCUUAUUCAUAAGGUUUUACUAUAAACGAACGGUCCCUAAGAUUAAUAUAGAAAUAUAUAAUUAAUGGGUAAAAGAACAAGAAAAUAAAAAUGAACCGUACUGUAGACCGACACAGGUAUGAUAAAAAGGGAAUGGGAUAACUACUUUGAAUGAACUCGGCAAAAUAAAUCGUGCGACUGUUUACCAAAAACAUAGCUUAUUGCAUACUAGUAAUAGUAAGUAUAAUAAGUGAUAUCUGCCCGGUGUUAGUUUAAUAAAUAUUAUUAUUGUUUAGAUAAUUUUAUAAAAGACUGAUAAACGGCGGUCUUAUUGUGAGGAUCCGAAGGUAGCGAAAUUCAUUGACGUAUAAUUGACGUCCUGCAUGAAUGAAUAUACGAUGCGAUAACUGUAUCCAAAGUAGACUCAGUGAAAUAGCAAUUGCGGUGAAGAUGCCGUAUAUCCGUAGGUUGACAAAAAGACCCUAUGCAGCUUUACUAUAUCUUUAUUUUGAUUUUUUAAUCAUAAUUUAAUUAUGAUUAACCCUUUUUUUAUUUAUUUCAGCAGAUUAGGUUAUAUUUAUAUUUUAAAUCAAAUGAGAUACCUAUAUAAAUAAAAAAAGAAUCUAAUUAAUAUAGUCAAAAUUCAAUAAAAAUUGAAUUGCCCUUAAAAAGGGUUAUUAAUAAACUAAUGACUUAAGUUUUAACUUAUUUAAGAAAGAGUAAAGAGGUUAGUUUCGAUGGGGCGUCGACAUCAGCGAAAGCAUCUGAUGUGUCUAAUAACAAAGAUCUUGAAUAUCAAGACUAAAUGUUUAAUUAAAUUAUUUAUUUAAUAGUAAAUAACGUACAAUAAUUCUAUAUGGUAAAUAGAAUAAAAAGAUAUGAUAGGUAUUACCUAUUUUUAAAUUUUAUCUUAUCCCCGCUAAGCUUAGCGGGGUAUAUAAGUAAGGAUAACAACAUAAUUGUGCGAUGAUAAUAACACAAACAAGUGGAAUUAGUACUUACGUAGAGUGUAGUGAACAGGCAUAAACAAAUGGUAUGGAUGUCGAUAACGGAUUAACCGCGUGAGAGUUGAUAUCGUCAGCGGUGUUUGCCACCUCGAUGUCGUCUAGACUCGUCCUCCUGGUCGCAGCAACUAGGUAGGGUAGGACUGUUCGUCCUCUAAGGAGUUACUUGAGAUGGGUUAAUUACGACGUGAGUCAGUAAUGAUUUUAUCAUCUAUGGAUUUUUUUCUUAUCUGUUGCCUUAAGUGUACGCAAGGAUAAUAAGGUACAUUCCUAUGGUUAAUUAUUUAAUUUAGCUAAGAAUGUUGUGUUUACAUAUUGAAUGCAUAUCAAAUAUUAAAUCCUUCAGAUAAGUUUAUACAUUAUAGACUAUAAUGUUUUAGUUAAUUUGUGAUUUUCGCAUAUUUUCUAAUUAAUCCCCCCGAAGGGGGUAUAUAAUAAGGGGCCCCCGAAGGGGGCCCCUAAUUAAUUUAUUUAUAAUAUUUAUAUUAUAAAUUAAAAUACAUAUACCU